rnacentral:lncRNA from 1 species
UGGACAUCACUAGGCAGAGAAAUGCCAACAUGGUGGCAAAAUAAGCGAACUAAGGUACAGAGAAGUUAAAUACUUACUGGUUGUGAGCAACACGUAAAGACUGAGAAACUGCAACUUAACAGAGGAAUCUACGGAGACAGAUGACUAAAUGCAAGAUGGUAUCCUGAAUUGGAUUAUGGGACAGUAAAAGCAUUAGUGGAAAUCUGGUGGAAUCUUGGUAAACUGAAUCUCCCGAGAACUUAUCCUAGUAAUCCUCUUUGCAUAUAACUCUGCAUCUCAGAGUCGGUUUACAGGGAACCAGUCUAGACAGGUGGACCUCAUCCAAUCAAUAGAAGACUUUAGAAAAAAGACUGAGAAAGAAGAGAAAGGACUUAAGAUGGCCUUCAGACUCCAGAUUGCAACAUCAAUUUCUGUUAGAACUUCCAGCAUGCUGGCCUGCCCUGCAAAUUUUGGAUUUGCCAGCCCCCACAAUUGUGUGAGCC